rnacentral:rRNA from 1 species
GACGAACGCUGGCGGCGUGCUUAACACAUGCAAGUCGAACGGAAAGGCCCUGCUUUUGUGGGGUGCUCGAGUGGCGAACGGGUGAGUAACACGUGAGUAACCUGCCCUUGACUUUGGGAUAACUUCAGGAAACUGGGGCUAAUACCGGAUAGGAGCUCCUGCUGCAUGGUGGGGGUUGGAACGUUUCGGCGGUGGGGAUGGCCUCGCGGCUUAUCAGCUUGUUGGUGGGGUAGUGGCUUACCAAGGCUUUGACGGGUAGCCGGCCUGAGAGGGUGACCGGCCACAUUGGGACUGAGAUACGGCCCAGACUCCUACGGGAGGCAGCAGUGGGGAAUAUUGCACAAUGGGCGGAAGCCUGAUGCAGCAACGCCGCGUGCGGGAUGACGGCCUUCGGGUUGUAAACCGCUUUCGCCUGUGACGAAGCGUGAGUGACGGUAAUGGGUAAAGAAGCACCGGCUAACUACGUG